UAGGAGUCAUCUACACGAACUCACGAAUCACGAUCAGAAGUCCUGGUCUAGGAAAUCAGCACAGUAUGCUAGUACUAUGCUGAUCCUUUUUUGAUGGUCGAUCAGAUGCUUCAUUCUUCUUGAUUUGAACUCUUUCAAAGAUAAAAAGUAGGAGAAGGAGUUUUAGAUGUGAGACACUCUCAGAAAACUCACAGAUGGAGGAAGGAAAGAGGUGAACACA
rnacentral:lncRNA from 1 species